rnacentral:misc_RNA from 1 species
AUGCGAAUAAAUCGAUGGAUCUGGUGGGCCACGGUCAUUCUUUUGUAUCUCAGGACGGGAUUAGCGGCCGAUUUCUUCAGAUCGAGUGAGGAAAAUGAUAGAAAAUCAUCAGACGAUUUGGAUAAUUUUAAUUCAACUAAAAUCGAACCAGAUAAGCCAAAAACUGCAAAAGAACUCGGUGUAAAAUCAUGCGAAUCGAAUCAAGACUGUGUACAUGAUGGAGUAUGUCACCGUGGAAACGAUGGUCAUGGAAUAUGUAUGUGCCCGAGAAGUUGUCCAGCAAUUACUCCAAAACAAUGCGGAUACAAUUACCGAACACCAUCCACAUGUCUACUCAUGGAUGCUGAUUAUCGAUCGAAAUAUGAUGUGAAGGAGCCGACGUGUUAUUCAAGGAAAUGCGUCUGCCCACCACAAUUCGAUGAUGUUCAUGUUACGGCAAAUCAGAAGCCUCUGCGGUUGAAUUCUACUCUACUUCCAACGAAAUGUGACAAAAGAGAUCUCGCUGUUGUAGCCCGUGCUCACCCAUCGACGUCAGUUUCGAAGGGAAUUGAUGUCACCUUAUUCUGCUGCAUAAAUGUUGAUCCGGAAGGCUUUAUUGAUGUUGCCAGCGUAUUUUUCAUUCAAAAUGGAACAAUUAUGAGAGAAGCAACAUCACACCCAUUUGCACCUAGAAAUGGACUUGCUCGACGGGUACAUGAAAAAUAUUCGUGUUGGGAGCUGGAAAUUAAAAAUGCUCAAACUUCGGAUUCUGGGUCUUAUAUGUGUCGGGUCACUGCGAGUGCUUCAGAUCUUGACGUUACGGAUACAAUGCAGUUUGAGGUUAAAGCUCCUCGCCAAAUCAAGAAUCUAACUGUAAAUCCAUCUGAACGAGAUGCCAUCGUUACAUGGGAAUCCGAAGGUGGAGAAGACAUGGCAAUUGAUUUGAGACUUGUUCGACGUACGGAUACCCGAGGACAAGUGGUUUUCAGUAAGGACAACUUAACGUCUCCAGUUUCUAUAAAAGAUCUUCGCGCCGCGACUCCGUACACACUUUUUGUGUCGGGGAAUAAUGGACAAGUACCAUUUGAGUUCACUGAACACUUUACUACAAAACAGAAACGUCCAUUCCCACCGAAAGAGGAGGAUGUGCGGGUGCUAAAUUCUGGUUCAGCAUUGAGUUGUGAAGUUGAAUGGAAAAGUCCCGCGGAGCCAAAUGGUCGAAUUACAAAAUAUUUUGUAUCUGUUCGUGGAGCAAUGCGAAAAUCCGACGGAUCCCUAACUCCAGAUGAUCUUCCAGCAGCUGUAGAAGUUGAUAAACGUUGUGCGAAUUGGGAUGGUGAUGAGAAUACAUCAAAGCAUAAUGGAAUCAAUCCAAUUGAUUUUGCAAAUGAAUUUUAUUCUUGCAAAUUUGGUCCAUUAAAACCAAAUCGAAAUUAUACCGUCACUGUUUGGGCUGAAAAUUCAGCUGGGAGAUCUCUACCAGCAGUUUUCCACAAGAACUGUGUUACGAAUUACGCACAGCCAGAUAUGGUAGAAACACCACAACCUUUGCUGUCUAAUAAUCAUUCGACAUUCUCGUUGACUUUUCCCCAACCGCCAGAUGAUAUUAAUGGGCCAAUAAGCUGCUACUAUAUUGCAAUAGUUCCACUUCCUGCAAAUGUUUCUCUGGAUAUCUUGCCAAAAUCUGAGGAAAUAGUUAUGCACUCAUUUUCAAAAGUCUUCACGAACAAUCUACUCCCAUCGUCGGCUGAAGAGAAACGAUUUUUCGCUUACAUUGCCGAGUCGUAUGUUCAAUUACCAGAAGAAACAACGAUAGGAGAUGGUGUUAGAGUGUCUGAUUUAAAAGCCUGUAAUGUACAGUACCUCAGUCGAUAUUCGUCUGAAGAUCUCGCAUUACGGCGUGGGCUCAAGUACACCGGAUUUCUAAUUGUACGUGUCGAUAAGGAAGAAGAAUUGAACAGAAAAGAUGUUCGAAAUGGAGCUGAUCCGAAUAUAUUUAGGAAUUUAAUUGACAAAAGCGUAUCUCCAACAUCACGAACCCGUACUGCAUCUCCCAUGAGCCGCCACCUGCGUCAACUUCAUUUGAGUGGGCCAGCGUAUGGAUAUUCUGCAUACUUCAAGCCAAUACUACUUGACACGGAAAGUUCAAGCAGUGGAUUCGGAAUUUUCAUGAAAAUUAUUCUGCCGUUCCUUCUGUUCUUAGCAUUUGCAACUGGAGUUACAAUGUUCUUUGUAAACCGAAAAGGACAUAUGCUGUCAACUUGGUGUCCAUUAUUCACAAAAAUGACGUCAAAAGAUGUUGUGGAACGAACUCUUCUGAAACAGACAUUUGGUGCAAUUCCAGUUGAUGAUCUUCCAACUGAAUACGUUGUUCGACAUCGAGACACGGAUUUUCUGUUUGCACAAGAAUACGAAUCUCUGCCACAUUUUCAAUUGGAUACUGUAGCCAGUAAUAGAAAAGAAAAUGCAAUCAAAAACCGAUAUAACGACAUUCGUGCAUUCGAUGAUACUCGAGUUAAGCUGAAGAAAAUCAACGGAGACGAUUACUCGGAUUAUAUAAACGCUAAUUUCAUUAAAAGCUGGAAAGAAAAGAAGUUAUUCAUUGCUGCUCAGGCUCCAGUUGACGCCACUAUCGGAGAUUUCUGGAGAAUGGUGUGGGAACAAGAGUCAUAUUUAAUUGUGAUGGUUGCCAAUUUAACCGAGAAAAACCGGCAGCAAUGUGCAAAGUAUUGGCCUGAUGAACAGAUUACAAGAUAUGGAGAUAUAAUCGUGGAGCCUGCCAGUUUUUCGUUCCAUUCUGAUUAUGCGAUUCGUGCAUUCGAUAUCGCACAUAUAGGAGAAUUGAUGUGAUCCCGAAUGGAAACGGCGUCGAAUACGCGAAUGUGCCAAUUGUAAAAGGACAAUUUGCUAAUAAUUCCCGUCGUAUUCUCCAGUAUCACUUUACCAAUUGGAAUGACUACAAAGCUCCGGAAUGUUCCACUGGAUUGCUUCGAUUCAUGUAUCGUCUUCGAGAAUUACCACAGUUUAAUAACUCGCCUGUUGUGAUACAUUGCAGUGCUGGAGUUGGAAGAACUGGAACAUUUAUUUCAAUAGAUUCGAUGCUUGAUCAAUGUCUCGCGGAGGAUAAAGCAAACAUUUUCGAAUUCGUGUGCAAUCUUCGUCGCCAACGGAACUUGAUGGUUCAAUCUCUUGAACAAUAUGUGUUCAUCUACAAAGCACUUGCGGAAUGGCACAUGUAUGGUGAUACUGAUGAAGAUGUUCGAGAUUUUGAAGAUCACUAUCAACGAUUAUGUGCAUCGAAUAGAGAUAGAGCAGUUAGCUUUAAUCAACAGUCAUCUACGAAUGGAUCAAUAUCUCCGAGAGUAGCAAUUGUCUCAUCUCGAGAAUCAAUGACAACUUCCAAUGGAGAAACUGGAUUGGAAGAAGAAUUCAAAAAGUUGGAGCGAAAUUUGACUACUCCUUUAUCUUCAAACUUUGCUGCAAAAGACGAGAACCUUCUUAAAAAUCGAUAUGAAGCUGCAGUACCUUUUGAUAAAUAUCGAGUUAUUCUUCCUCCAACUAUUGGACAUGCUGACUCUUCAUAUAUCAAUGCAUCACACAUAAAAGGAUACUUUUUUGAUUAUAUAGCCGCUCAGGAUCCUGUUUCAGAAGGAACAGCUUUUGAUUUCUGGAGAAUGAUUGCUGAUCAAAAUGUGACUACGGUAGUUAUGUUGAGUGAUGAGACAGAUUGGAGUGAUGUUGAAAAGUACUGGCCAAUCGAUGGUUCUGGAACAGAAUGUCACUUUGGAUCGGAACGUAAUUCAGUGAAUGUUACCUGUGUCUCUGAAGAGCACCAUCAAGAUUUUAUCAUUCGAAAUUUAUCAUAUUCUAUGAAAGAUAACGAAUCGAUGCCAGCGAACCAAGAAGUUGUACAGUAUUCGUAUACUGGAUGGCCUUCGGAUUCAAUUGUUCCAAAAUCUGCGAACAGUUUGAUGAAUCUGAUUGAGAUGGUCCUGCAACGUCAGAGCAGUCUCAUGGGAUCUCAGGCUCCGAUUGUGGUACAUUGCAGAAACGGAUCGUCAGAGAGCGGAAUCUUCAUAUGCAUUUCCUUGUUAUGGCUCCGACAAAAAGCUGAACAACGGAUAGACGUCUUCCAAACAGUAAAAGGACUUCAAUCACACCGACCGAUGAUGUUUACCCGUUUUGAGCAGUAUUCUUUCUGUUACAGAGCCCUAGCUGACUAUAUCUCUAAGACAUAUAGGUAG